CGGGGAAGCGUAACCCCGUACCUGAAAACCGCCCAAUACGAGCCCAAUAGGGCUCAAGGGCUCUAGCGCAUUAUGCGAGGAGCCAAGGCCUCGAUAGUGGCAUGCAAGGCGCGGGUUUUCAUUCCGUCGGGCACUCCGUCAGAGGCACCCUCUUUUAGAGUUGUUGUUGUGCCCCGUUAGCCGGUGGACACCCUUUGCGACGCGCUGGGGCGAAGAGCUGGGGAAGAGCAUCGUCC
rnacentral:lncRNA from 1 species